UACGAAGGGGGCUAGCGUUGCUCGGAAUGACUGGGCGUAAAGGGCGCGUAGGCGGAUGGCACAGUCAGAUGUGAAAUUCCUGGGCUUAACCUGGGGGCUGCAUUUGAUACGUGUUGUCUAGAGUGAGGAAGAGGGUUGUGGAAUUCCCAGUGUAGAGGUGAAAUUCGUAGAUAUUGGGAAGAACACCGGUGGCGAAGGCGGCUAUCUGGACCGUAACUGACGCUGAGGCGCGAAAGCGUGGGGAGCAAACAGG
rnacentral:rRNA from 1 species